GAAUUAUUGAAGAGAGUAAUAAAGAAAACUUGUAAUUUCUUUGCAUUGGGAAACUACACAAGAAUUGAGUUACAAUGUCAUCAUGUCUUAUUGAGCUAUUUUUAUAUAUUGAAAUGGAACUACAUAAUGUAUAAUUACUUUUACAAGUUUCCUUGAACCUAAGAAACUUCCAUUUGGUACUGAUAAAAAAUUAACAAAACACCUAAACUUUAGGAAUUACAAGCUCUCUAAGGUCCUUUCUUCUUAAUUCCAAGUCCUUAGGAUUUUCUCUAUUUCUCCACUUUCCUAUUUUCCUCAUUAUUCAAACAAUGCAAGGUUGCCAAACAUUAAGAAAAAAUCAAAUGAAUAUCAAAACCUCAUGCAAUUCAUAUUCAGUCUCAAAUUCAUAAAAAUACUCAACAAACACGUUUGAACCAAAUUCUCAUUUUGCCUAAGUUCAAACAAGAGGUGAAACUAUUUUGAAUUUGUUUGUUGAUAACACAAAAAGGGGAGAGAUACAAGUUUUAAUUACUGCAGUAAAAUCUACACACAUUCAAUUUCAUUUUACCAAAUUCAUAAAGAAAAACAAAUUCAUAAUCAUAGCAAGGCAUUUAAAAAAAGGGAGUUAAUGAAGUAAAGUUGCAGUAGUGAAAAGUUCAAGCAAAUUUCAAAUUGCACAAAACAAAUUCAGCAAGCAACCCAAAUAGCAUGGUACAAUAUGCUCCCUCCCCAUUCCCAAUUCCACUACCUUCCCACUCCCAUUUCACAGCUCAUUAUACCAACAGAUUCUCAUCCUUACCCAUAACCCUAAAAUUGACACACACUUGAAAAACAUCACAUGUAUAUUAUUCCUCAAUUAUCCUUAUAAAAACUAAUACUCAAACACAACAUGGACACAAUAGAAAAAAUACAUAUCAGAUAAAGAAACCCUAACGACCAAUUCAUAUACAUUGAAAUGAAAAUCGAUGACCCAAAUAUCCAUAUUGUAGAAUACACACAAAAGAACCCACUGCAUACAACACUAUCUGCAUAGCAAGAACAAUAACACGGAGGAAGAAGGAUAAACGCAAAGAAGAAGAGAAAAAUCAGAGACAAGUCAUAAGGGAGAAGAGAUGAGAGUUACCUGAGAAUUUUUUUCUUUGCUCUGGUGAUGAUGAAAGAGGUAAUCUUCUUUUCUAACCUUCAACUUUUUUUUUACGUUUGAUUAAUGUGAUGUUGUUUGAUCAUUGAAUAUUUAUGGACUUGUUGUCUCAUUUUAUUGUGCUUUGUGUUUUUUGGAUGUUAGGGUGUCGACUUGUGGGCCUGGAAAAUUAGGUUAGGAGUUUUAGUUGCCAUUUUAUGGUGUUUUUGAACUCAAGAGGGUUUUUAAGGUAGGUUUUAAGGUUUGAGGGGAGUUCCAGUGACCUAUGGCGGCGACACAUCGGCCUUCACGGUCACUGCUGGGUGUGCCGCCGCCUAGUUGCAUAUGUUCUUCCUUUUUUCUGGGUAUGAUGAAGGUGUUCAUGAGAUUGGUUUAAAAGUGUGGAGAGAAAGAAGAUAGUUUGAUAAGAGAAGAGAUAGAUAGAGAGAGAGAGAGAGAGAAUUAUCAAAAUGAACCCUGUCUCUCAGGAUGCAUUGCUUAUACCCUUUCCUCUGUCCAUGGAUGUGUUCCAAGUGACACCAUCCCUAUCCUCUCUUGUAAGUGGACUAGGACCUAUUCAACUUAGGGAUCUUGUGCAUUAUUCCCACCUCUAGCUAUCAUAUGAACUCUCAUAUGCCAUUGGAUCUAGGUGGACUGAUAAAAUAAGCAUAUCCAACGCCCCCUGGUUGAGUCAACAGUGUUGACUCCCAAGUGGGCUCUUAAAACUUGGGCAUGCACCCAGUUUGCUCUCUACACCCUCUUUAUGCUUUUCUUUUGUUUGAGCUUUUUUUUAUAGUAUUUAGCCCAUGUUUCAUAGUUUUUUUUUUCUUUUAUUAUUAUCUUUUUUUUCAUGCAUGAUUUUUAUAUUAUUUGUUUAUUUUUACUUUUGAAAUUUUAUAUUUUUUAAGUUUUUAUAUAUUUGUUGUGUAAAUAUGGUGCAAGCAUUUAUUUUUCUUUUAUUUAAAAAUCAUAUCUAACUAAAAAAUAAAAAAUUAUUAUUUAAAAGAAACUUAUUAAAA
rnacentral:lncRNA from 1 species